rnacentral:lncRNA from 1 species
CCCCACUGGCCUGGUCAUCCCUCCAUCCUCAUCCCUCCAUCCAUCCAUCAUCAUCCCUCCAUCCUCAUCCCUCCAUCCAUCCAUCAUCAUCCCUCCAUCCUCAUCCCUCCAUCCAUCCAUCAUCAUCCCUCCAUCAUCAUCCUCCAUCCCUCCAUCAUCCAUCACCAUCCCUCCAUCAUCCAUCACCCAUCCCUCCAUCAUCCCAUCCCUCCAUCACCCAUCAUCCAUCCCUCCAUCAUCCAUCACCCAUCCAUCCAUCACCCAUCCCUCCAUCACCCAUCAUCCAUCCCUCCAUUAUCCAUCCAUUACCCAUCCCUCCAUCAUCCAUCAUCCAUCAUCCAUCCGUCCACCAUCAUCCCUCCAUCAUCAUCCCUCCAUCAUCCAUCCCCCAUCACCCAUCCCUCCAUCAUCAUCCCUCCAUCAACAUCCCUCCAUCCCUCCAUCACCCAUCCAUCCAUCCCUCCAUCAUCCAUCCAUCAUCCAUCCAUCAUCCGUCCAUCCAUCAUCCAUCCCUCCAUCAUCUUCCCUCCAUCAUCCAUCACCCAUCCAUCCAUCACCCAUCCAUCUCUCCAUCACCCAUCCCUCAUCAUCCAUCCCUCCAUCACCCAUCCCUCCAUCAUCCAUCCCUCCAUCAUCCAUCCAUCUCUCCAUCACCCAUCCCUCCAUCACCCAUCCAUCCAUCACCCAUCCAUCUCUCCAUCACCCAUCCCUCCAUCAUCCAUCCCUCCAUCACCCAUCCCUCCAUCAUCCAUCACCCAUCCAAAGUCCCAAAGAUGGUCCCCUUUCCAACCCAGCCUGGCUGAAGCCAGAGGAGGUGCAGCCAGAGGAGGUGCAGCCAGAGGAGGUGCAGCCAGAGGAGGUGCAGCCAGAGGAGGUGCAGCCAGAGGAGGUGCAGCCAGGGGAGGUGCAGCCAGAGGAGGUGCAGCCAGAGGAGGUGCAGCCAGAGGAGGUGCAGCCAGAGGGGAACCUGGUGACCAGAGCGAAGCUCCUCCAGGUCCUCCAAACAUAUUUGAGCAGAAUUCCAUUUUCCCCGGUGAGAGUGGGGCAACAACAGCCUGUCCACAGUUUCUGGUCCCCGCCGACAUCAGAGGCUGUCGCUUCCACUCAGUCCACGCUUGUCAACCCAUUCUCCUCCUCCUCGGCCUCUUGAUGGGGGGGUGA